rnacentral:lncRNA from 1 species
GCUGGCACUGAUUGGGUCACACCUGAAACUUAUGACCUUCCAGAUGAACACAGUACUGGGACUUGCCCAAGACCCACAGCCACUACUUCCUGCCUGCCUGCUGCUGCUGUUUAUUCAAGACCAAAGAAGGGCACUUUAGAUCAAUAAAUGUCCACAGGACAAAAGCAGUGCCAACUGUGGGGCUCACCUUCCUGGAUUCCUGUCUUCUUCCUAGAUCUUGGUCCGAUGAAUUAUGUAUCUGAAAUGGCUGGCAACCUCAGCUGCAGGACACUUUGAGGAGACGGCUGAUUGCAGAUCUAGGGCAGAGAAUGAAUAAGGUCAUUCUUCCUGCUUUGAUCAAGCAAUCAUCAUGUCCCUUUAGACACACCCAGGAUUAAUACUUUGUAUCCCUCAAUCCAAUCAAGUUGACAGUCAGUAUUAACCAUCGCAGGAGGAGAGCAUGAGCUACCUUCCAGACCUGCUUCUCCAAGAACACAGUGAACUUGGCCCGGCAGAGCUGUGGUUUGUGUCCACCCCCAUAGCUUAUGUCCUUUGAUGUUCCGCCUGACUAAUGGCCUGUCCAUUCUCCUUCAGGACACAUAAGAGAGGAUCUUACUCUGUUGCCCAGGCUGGAGUGUAG